UAGAUGACGAAGUGGUUGAUGCCAUGCUUCCAAGAAAAGCUUCUAAGCUUCAGGUAACCAGGAACCGUACCCCAAACCGACACAGGUGGUUGGGUAGAGAAUACCAAGGCGCUUGAGAGAACUCGGGUGAAGGAACUAGGCAAAAUGGCACCGUAACUUCGGGAGAAGGUGCGCCGGUGAGGGUGAAGCAUUUACUGCGUAAGCCCAUGCCGGUCGAAGAUACCAGGCCGCUGCGACUGUUUAUUAAAAACACAGCACUCUGCAAACACGAAAGUGGACGUAUAGGGUGUGACGCCUGCCCGGUGCCGGAAGGUUAAUUGAUGGGGUUAGCUAACGCGAAGCUCUUGAUCGAAGCCCCGGUAAACGGCGGCCGUAACUAUAACGGUCCUAAGGUAGCGAAAUUCCUUGUCGGGUAAGUUCCGACCUGCACGAAUGGCGUAACGAUGGCGGCGCUGUCUCCACCCGAGACUCAGUGAAAUUGAAAUCGCUGUGAAGAUGCAGUGUAUCCGCGGCUAGACGGAAAGACCCCGUGAACCUUUACUAUAGCUUUGCACUGGACUUUGAAUUUGCUUGUGUAGGAUAGGUGGGAGGCUUUGAAGCGUGGACGCCAGUUCGCGUGGAGCCAACCUUGAAAUACCACCCUGGCAACUUUGAGGUUCUAACUCAGGUCCGUUAUCCGGAUCGAGGACAGUGUAUGGUGGGUAGUUUGACUGGGGCGGUCUCCUCCUAAAGAGUAACGGAGGAGUACGAAGGUGCGCUCAGACCGGUCGGAAAUCGGUCGUAGAGUAUAAAGGCAAAAGCGCGCUUGACUGCGAGACAGACACGUCGAGCAGGUACGAAAGUAGGUCUUAGUGAUCCGGUGGUUCUGUAUGGAAGGGCCAUCGCUCAACGGAUAAAAGGUACUCCGGGGAUAACAGGCUGAUACCGCCCAAGAGUUCAUAUCGACGGCGGUGUUUGGCACCUCGAUGUCGGCUCAUCACAUCCUGGGGCUGAAGCCGGUCCCAAGGGUAUGGCUGUUCGCCAUUUAAAGUGGUACGCGAGCUGGGUUUAGAACGUCGUGAGACAGUUCGGUCCCUAUCUGCCGUGGACGUUUGAGAUUUGAGAGGGGCUGCUCCUAGUACGAGAGGACCGGAGUGGACGAACCUCUGGUGUUCCGGUUGUCACGCCAGUGGCAUUGCCGGGUAGCUAUGUUCGGAAUAGAUAACCGCUGAAAGCAUCUAAGCGGGAAACUAGCCUCAAGAUGAGAUCUCACUGGGACCUUGAGUCCCCUGAAGGGCCGUCGAAGACUACGACGUUGAUAGGUUGGGUGUGUAAGCGCUGUGAGGCGUUGAGCUAACCAAUACUAAUUGCCCGUGAGGCUUGACC
rnacentral:rRNA from 1 species